rnacentral:misc_RNA from 1 species
UAGUAACGGCGAGUGAAGCGGCAACAGCUCAAAUUUGAAAUCUGGCUCUCGGGCCCGAGUUGUAAUUUGUAGAGGAUGCUUUUGAUGCGGUGCCUUCCGAGUUCCCUGGAACGGGACGCCAUAGAGGGUGAGAGCCCCGUCUGGUUGGAUGCCAAAUCUCUGUAAAGCUCCUUCGACGAGUCGAGUAGUUUGGGAAUGCUGCUCUAAAUGGGAGGUAUAUGUCUUCUAAAGCUAAAUACCGGCCAGAGACCGAUAGCGCACAAGUAGAGUGAUCGAAAGAUGAAAAGCACUUUGAAAAGAGAGUUAAAAAGUACGUGAAAUUGUUGAAAGGGAAGCGUUUAUGACCAGACUUGGGCUUGGUUAAUCAUCUGGGGUUCUCCCCAGUGCACUUUUCCAGUCCAGGCCAGCAUCAGUUUUCGCCGGGGGAUAAAGGCUUCGGGAAUGUGGCUCUCUCCGGGGAGUGUUAUAGCCCGUUGCGUAAUACCCUGGCGGGGACUGAGGUUCGCGCAUCUGCAAGGAUGCUGGCGUAAUGGUCAUCAACGACCCGUCUUGAAACACGGACCAAGGAGUCGUCUUCGUAUGCGAGUGUUCGGGUGUCAAACCCCUACGCGUAAUGAAAGUGAACGCAGGUGAGAGCUUCGGCGCAUCAUCGACCGAUCCUGAUGUUCUCGGAUGGAUUUGAGUAAGAGCAUACGGGGCCGGACCCGAAAGAAGGUGAACUAUGCCUGUGUAGGGUGAAGCCAGAGGAAACUCUGGUGGAGGCUCGCAGCGGUUCUGACGUGCAAAUCGAUCGUCAAA